rnacentral:pre_miRNA from 1 species
UACCCUGUAGAUCCGAAUUUGUCAGGGUUAGAACCACAAAUUCGGUUCUAGAGAGGUUUG